AAAAUUGGCGGUAUUUAAAUCUAGUUAGGGGAAUUUGUCUAUUAAAUGAUACUCCGCAAGAUACCUUACUUUAUUUAUUAAUUUAUUUAUUGCCGUUAACAGAUUAUUUUUAAAGAAAAAAAAUUUUCUUAAAUAUUUAAAUAUAAUAUAUAUUUCAGGUCUUUAUGUAGUUUAUAGUAAAGUUUAGAUGAGUUACAAUAAAAUUUAUUUAUAUGGAUUUUAAGAUGAAAAUUUUUUUUGAAAGUGGACUUAAUAGUAAUUAUUAAUUAUAUAUUAUAAUU
rnacentral:rRNA from 1 species